GACGUAGGGCGCGAGCGUUGUCCAGAUUUAUUGGGCGUAAAGAGCUCGUAGGCGGCUUGUCGCGUCGAAUGUGAAAUCUCAGGGCUCAACUCUGACAUUGCAUUCGAUACGGGCAGGCUAGAGUUCGGUAGGGGAGACUGGAAUUCCUGGUGUAGCGGUGAAAUGCGCAGAUAUCAGGAGGAACACCGGUGGCGAAGGCGGGUCUCUGGGCCGAUACUGACGCUGAGGAGCGAAAGCGUGGGGAGCGAACAGG
rnacentral:rRNA from 1 species